ACGGUCCUAAGGUAGCGAAAUUCCUUGUCAGGUAAGUUCUGACCCGCACGAAAGGCGUAACGAUUUGGGCGCUGUCUCAGCUGUAGACUCGGUGAAGUCUUAGUACCUGUGAAGAUGCAGGUUACCCGCGACUAGACGGAAAGACCCCAUGGAGCUUCACUGCAGGUUGAUAUUGGGAUUUGAUGCAGCAUGUACAGGAUAGGUAGGAGGCAAAGAGAUGGAUACGCCAGUAUUCAAGGAGCCGCUGUUGGGAUACUACCCCUGUUGUAUUGGAUUUCUAACCGGACGACGUAAAGCCGUUGACGGGACAGUGUCAGUCGGGCAGUUUGACUGGGGCGGUCGCCUCCCAAAGAGUAACGGAGGCGCCCAAAGAUACCCUCAGCUUGGAUGGAAACCAAGCGCAGAGUGCAAAGGCAAAAGGGUGUUUGACUGCGAGACCUACAAGUCGAGCAGGGACGAAAGUCGGGCUUAGUGAUCCGGCGGUGCUGAAUGGAAAGGCCGUCGCUCAACGGAUAAAAGCUACCCUGGGGAUAACAGGCUGAUCUCCCCCAAGAGUCCACAUCGACGGGGAGGUUUGGCACCUCGAUGUCGGCUCAUCGCAUCCUGGGGCUGUAUUCGGUCCCAAGGGUUUGGCUGUUCGCCAAUUAAAGCGGUACGCGAGCUGGGUUCAGAACGUCGUGAGACAGUUCGGUCCCUAUCUGUCGUGGGCGUAGGAUAUUUGCAAGGAGCUGUCCCUAGUACGAGAGGACCGGGAUGGACGCACCUCUGGUGCACCAGUUGUCACGCCAGUGGCACAGCUGGGCAGCUAUGUGCGGAACGGAUAAACGCUGAAGGCAUCUAAGCGUGAAGCCGCCCUUAAGAUAAGAUAUCCCUUCUGUUUACAGAGUAAGACCCCUUGAAGACUACAAGGUUGAUAGGCUCAAAGUGUAAGCACGGUGACGUGUUUAGCUAGCGAGUACUAAUCGGUCGAGGGCUUAACCUU
rnacentral:rRNA from 1 species